UCAAUGUACUGAGCAUGUGCAGGAAUGUAGGAACUGAAAUCACACUCCUUUGUCCUUUGUUUCGGGUGAGCCAUGUGGUCAGACCGGAUGAGCAAGUCCAGACUCUGUUUAUUGAUUGGUUAAGGGUAUGUGUGGGUGUAGGGAGGAGCUAUAUUGCUAUAUAAGGAAUGUACUCCAUGUGUUCUGGGCUCAGAUCUGUUGUGGAACGUUAGUCCAUCUGAGACCCGAUCGGUACGUGAAUAAAGGCCUCUUACUUCCUGAAUACCUGUGUCCAUAUCUCUAUGUGUGGCUUCUGCGGUUUGUUCCUGUUAUUCCUCCGGUAACAGUACAAUAAUGUAGGAUAGCACCCACAAAAAUAAUCGCU